rnacentral:rRNA from 1 species
GACGAACGCUGGCGGCGUGCCUAAUACAUGCAAGUCGAGCGAAUCUGAGGGAGCUUGCUCCCAAAGGUUAGCGGCGGACGGGUGAGUAACACGUGGGCAACCUGCCUGUAAGACUGGGAUAACUUCGGGAAACCGGAGCUAAUACCGGAUAAUUCUUACCAACACAUGUUGGUAAGCUAAAAGACGGCGCAAGCUGUCACUUACAGAUGGGCCCGCGGCGCAUUAGCUAGUUGGUAAGGUAAUGGCUUACCAAGGCAACGAUGCGUAGCCGACCUGAGAGGGUGAUCGGCCACACUGGGACUGAGACACGGCCCAGACUCCUACGGGUGGCAG